rnacentral:rRNA from 1 species
AGAGUUUGAUCCUGGCUCAGGACGAACGCUGGCGGCGUGCUUAACACAUGCAAGUCGAACGGUGAACUCCGCUUGCGGGGGGAUCAGUGGCGAACGGGUGAGUAACACGUGGGCAACCUGCCCCUGGCUCUGGGAUAACUCCAAGAAAUUGGGGCUAAUACCGGAUAUGACCGCUGACCGCAUGGUCUGGUGGUGGAAAGAUUUAUCGGCUGGGGAUGGGCCCGCGGCCUAUCAGCUUGUUGGUGGGGUAGUGGCCUACCAAGGCGACGACGGGUAGCCGGCCUGAGAGGGUGACCGGCCACACUGGGACUGAGACACGGCCCAGACUCCUACGGGAGGCAGCAGUGGGGAAUAUUGCGCAAUGGGCGGAAGCCUGACGCAGCGACGCCGCGUGGGGGAUGACGGCCUUCGGGUUGUAAACCUCUUUCAGCAGGGACGAAGCGCAAGUGACGGUACCUGCAGAAGAAGCACCGGCCAACUACGUGCCAGCAGCCGCGGUAAUACGUAGGGUGCAAGCGUUGUCCGGAAUUAUUGGGCGUAAAGAGCUCGUAGGCGGUUUGUUGCGUCGGCUGUGAAAUCCCGAGGCUCAACCUCGGGUCUGCAGUCGAUACGAGCAAACUGGAGUGUUGCAGGGGAGACUGGAAUUCCUGGUGUAGCGGUGAAAUGCGCAGAUAUCAGGAGGAACACCGGUGGCGAAGGCGGGUCUCUGGGCAACAACUGACGCUGAGGAGCGAAAGCGUGGGGAGCGAACAGGAUUAGAUACCCUAGUAGUCC